GGGCACGUAGCUCAGCGGGAGAGCACACCCUUCACACGGGUGGGGUCGCAGGUUCAAUCCCUGCCGUGCCCACCA
rnacentral:tRNA from 1 species